rfam:Ixodes scapularis strain Wikel colony gcontig_1108378375202, whole genome shotgun sequence.
GCAGUCGUGGCCGAGUGGUUAAGGCGAUGGACUGGAGAUCCAUUGGGGUCUCCCCGCGCGGGUUCGAGUCCUGUCGAUUGCG